GGAGGGUACAGCUCAGUGGCAGAGUGCAUGCCUAAUACGCAUGAGGUCCCGGGUUCGACCCCCAGUACCUCCA